rnacentral:lncRNA from 1 species
CUCCAUUCUACAUUCACCUUGGUCACAAGUGAACUGCUGCCAUAGUUUUAUUUGGGUGUAAAGAAUGUCUACUGCCCUCUGUUUAAAUUCUGGGAAGGGGUAGUGAAUGUUUCCCCUUUCCUCCUACCUUAGGAAACAUUCUGAAAAUGUCGAAAAUACAAGACCACUAAGCCUGCUGUAUCUGAGCAAAUUAGUGGCUAUCUUUUUUUUUCCUUUUUAAAGCACAAGAGGCCCGUAAAUCUUCAGUUAUUUUCCUUGGUUUAAUAUAUAUUUUUUUGAUACAAGCUCUCAGAGCAAGGGAAUAAAAAUCAUGCAUUGUUGAACCAUUAACUGGCUGGCAUGCUUUCCUGUUUGUACCCUCUGCAUUUUACUGGG